rnacentral:rRNA from 1 species
AUACGGAGGAUCCGAGCGUUAUCCGGAUUUAUGGGUUUAAAGGGUGCGUAGGUGGUUUGAUAAGUCAGCGGUGAAAGUUUGCAGCUUAACUGUAAAAAUGCCGUUGAAAUUGUCGGACUUGAGUGCAAAUGAGGUAGGCGGAAUGCGUGGUGUAGCGGUGAAAUGCAUAGAUAUCACGCAGAACUCCGAUUGCGAAGGCAGCUUACUAAGCUACAACUGACACUGAAGCACGAAAGCGUGGGGAUC